rnacentral:pre_miRNA from 1 species
UUUGUAUUUCCUCCGUCCCAUAUUAAGUGUCAAAAUAUUACAUGAAUCUAGACGCUUUUUGGGCAUAGAUACAUCCAUAUUUGGGCAAAUUUGAGACAGUUAAUAUGGGACGGAGGUAGUACAUA